rnacentral:rRNA from 1 species
CCUACGGGAGGCUGCAGUGGGGAAUAUUGCGCAAUGGGCGCAAGCCUGACCCAGCAACGCCGCGUGAGGGAAGAAGGCUUUCGGGUUGUAAACCUCUUUUAUCAGGGACGAAGCAAGUGACGGUACCUGAUGAAUAAGCCACGGCUAACUACGUGCCAGCAGCAGCGGUAAUACGUGGGUGGCAAGCGUUCUGCGGAUUUACUGGGUGGGAAGGGCGUGUAGGCGGGAGGGCAAGGCCGAUGUGAAAACUAUGGGACCAACCCAUUGACUGCAGUUGAACCUGUAAGUCUUGAGUGGUGGAGAGGCUAGCGGAAUUCGGGGUGUAGGGGUGAAAUGCGUAGAUAUACGGAGGAACACCAGUGGCGAAGGCGGCUUGCUGGACAGUAACUGACGCUGAGGCGCGAAAGCGUGGGGAGCAAACAGGAUUAGAUACCCGAGUAGUC